rnacentral:rRNA from 1 species
AAUGAACGCUGGCGGCGCGCCUAAUACAUGCAAGUCGAGCGAGAAGACGUAGCAAUACGUUUGUAAAGCGGCGAACGGGUGAGGAAUACAUGGGUAACCUACCCUCGAGUGGGAAUAACUAGCCGAAAGGUUAGCUAAUACCGCGUACGCUUCUUGGACUUCGGUUCAGGGAGGAAAGCGAUGCCGAGGGUAUCGCGCUCUUGGAUGGGCUCAUGUCCUAUCAGCUUGNGGUGAGGUAACGGCUCACCAAGGCUUCGACGGGUAGCUGGUCUGAGAGGACGAUCAGCCACACUGGCACUGCGACACGGGCCAGACUCCUACGGGAGGCAGCAGUAAGGAAUAUUGCGCAAUGGGCGAAAGCCUGACGCAGCGACGCCGCGUGGGGGAUGAAGGU